AGUUGCGCCGAAGAUUUAACGGGGCUAAGCAUACAACCGAAGCUUAGGCUGCAUACGAAAGUAUGCGGGGUAGGGGAGCGUUGUGUAAGGGGUGAAGCGAUAGCGGAAGCAGUCGUGGACUUUACAGAAGAGAGAAUGCCGGAAUAAGUAGCGAGAAUUGCGUGAGAAUCGCAAUGGCCGAAAAUCUGAGGUUUCUAGGGGAAGGUUCGUCCGCCCUAGGUAAGCCGGAGCUAAGGCGAGGCCGGAAGGCGUAGCCGAUGCACAUACGGUAGAAAUUCCGUAGCCACCGAAAUUGUUAAGAUUACUGACACUGAGUAAAGCUGUUACCGGGCGAUGGUUGUCCCGGGCGUAAGCGACUGAAAUUAGAGUAGGGAAGUACAGUGUAAUCAGGCGAGAAAAGGUAAUUGUAUUGAUGAGGUGCCCGUACCGCAAACCGACACAGGUAGAUGAGGAGAGAAUCCUAAGGCCAGCGGGAGAAGGGUUGUUAAGGAACUCGGCAAAUUGACCCCGUAACUUAGGGAGAAGGGGAGCCUACGAAAGUAGGCCGCAGUGAAUAGGCCCAGGCAACUGUUUAUCAAAAACACAGGUCUCUGCAAAACCGAAAGGUGAAGUAUAGGGGCUGACGCCUGCCCGGUGCCGGAAGGUCAAGGGGAAGUGUUAGAGCAAUCGAAGCACAGAACUUAAGCCCCGGUAAACGGCGGCCGUAACUAUAACGGUCCUAAGGUAGCGAAAUUCCUUGUCAGGUAAGUUCUGACCCGCACGAAUGGCGUAAUGAUCUGGGCACUGUCUCAACAGCCCGCCCGGCGAAAUUGUAGUACCGGUGAAGAUGCCGGUUACCCGCGACUAGACGGAAAGACCCCAUGGAGCUUUACUGUAGUUUGAUACUGGAUUUCGACAGAUUAUGUACAGGAUAUGUGGGAGACAUAGAAGUGAUUGCGCCAGCAGUCAUGGAGUCGACCUUGGGAUACCACGCUUAAUCUGUUGGGAUUCUAACCUGCACCUUUGAAUCAAGGUGGGGGACAAUGUCAGGCAGGCAGUUUGACUGGGGCGGUCGCCUCCAAAAGAGUAACGGAGGCGUUCAAAGGUUGGUUCAGCGCGGACGGAAAUCGCGCAGUGAGUAUAAACGCAGAAACCGGCCUAACUGUGAGACAAACACGUCGAACAGUAACGAAAGUUGGAGUUAGUGAUCAGGUGGUAGUGAAUGGAAAUGCCAUCGCUUAACGGAUAAAAGCUACCCUGGGGAUAACAGGCUGAUCUCCCCCAAGAGUUCACAUCGACGGGGAGGUUUGGCACCUCGAUGUCGGCUCAUCACAUCCUGGGGCUUGGAGCAGGUCCCAAGGGUUCGGCUGUCCGCCGAUUAAAGUGGUACGCGAGCUGGGUUCAGAACGUCGUGAGACAGUUCGGUCCCUAUCUGUCGUGGGCGUAGGAUAUUUGAGAGGAGCUGUCCUUAGUACGAGAGGACCGGGAUGGACAUACCGCCGGUGCAUCGGUUGUUCCGCCAGGAGCACAGCCGGGUAGCCGAGUAUGGAUGUGAUAAACGCUGAAAGCAUCUAAGCGUGAAACACACCUCAAGAUAAGAUAUCCCACAAUGUUAAGUUGGUAAGGACACUUGAAGACGACAAGUUUGAUAGGUCAGAGGUGUAAGUGCAGUAAUGCAUUGAGUUGACUGAUACUAAUAGUCCGAGGGCUUGAACAA
rnacentral:rRNA from 1 species